rnacentral:rRNA from 1 species
GAGUUUGAUCGUGGCUCAGAUUGAACGCUGGCGGCAUGCCUUACACAUGCAAGUCGAACGGCAGCAUGAUCUAGCUUGCUAGAUUGAUGGCGAGUGGCGAACGGGUGAGUAAUACAUCGGAACGUGCCCUGUAGUGGGGGAUAACUAGUCGAAAGAUUAGCUAAUACCGCAUACACCUGAGGGUGAAAGUGGGGGACCGCAAGGCCUCAUGCUAUAGGAGCGGCCGAUGUCUGAUUAGCUAGUUGGUGGGGUAAAGGCCCACCAAGGCGACGAUCAGUAGCUGGUCUGAGAGGACGAUCAGCCACACUGGGACUGAGACACGGCCCAGACUCCUACGGGAGGCAGCAGUGGGGAAUUUUGGACAAUGGGCGAAAGCCUGAUCCAGCAAUGCCGCGUGUGUGAAGAAGGCCUCGG